rnacentral:rRNA from 1 species
UACAGAGGGGGCGAGCGUUGUUCGGAAUUACUGGGCGUAAAGGCGCGUAGGCGGCCUUCUAAGUCGAACGUGAAAUCCCCGGGCUCAACCCGGGAACUGCGUCCGAUACUGGAAGGCUUGAAUCCGGGAGAGGGAUGCGGAAUUCCAGGUGUAGCGGUGAAAUGCGUAGAUAUCUGGAGGAACACCGGUGGCGAAGGCGGCAUCCUGGACCGGCAUUGACGCUGACGGCG